AUUAGGAAUCUUGCACAAUGGGGGAAACCCUGAUGCAGCGACGCCGCGUGGAGGAUGACGGCCCUCGGGUUGUAAACUCCUUUUGACAGGGAAGAAGAAUGUGACGGUACCUGUCGAAUAAGCCCCGGCUAACUACGUGCCAGCAGCCGCGGUAAUACGUAGGGGGCGAGCGUUGUCCGAAGUUACUGGGCGUAAAGCGCGCGUAGGCGGUCUUUUAAGUCUGGGGUGAAAGGUUCACGGCUCAACCGGAACAGUGCCUUGGAUACUGGGAGACUUGAAUCUGGCAGAGGAUAGUGGAAUUCCUGGUGUAGCGGUGAAAUGCGUAGAUAUCAGGAGGAACACCGAUGGCGAAGGCAGCUAUCUGGGCUAAGAUUGACGCUGAGGUGCGAAAGCGUGGGGAGCAAACGGG
rnacentral:rRNA from 1 species